rnacentral:rRNA from 1 species
CAGCAGCCGCGGGAAUACGUAGGUGGCAAGCGUUGUCCGGAAUUAUUGGGCGUAAAGCGCGCGCAGGCGGCCUAUCCAGUCUGUCUUAAAAGUUCGGGGCUCAACCCCGUGAUGGGAUGGAAACUAGUAGGCUAGAGUAUCGGAGAGGAAAGCGGAAUUCCUAGUGUAGCGGUGAAAUGCGUAGAUAUUAGGAGGAACACCAGUGGCGAAGGCGGCUUUCUGGACGAAAACUGACGCUGAGGCGCGAAAGCCAGGGGAGCGAACGGGAUUAGAUACCCGAGUAGUCCCUGUCUCUUAUACA